ensembl:scaRNA
GCUGGAGGACCAAGAAGGCUGAGUCUGAUGAAGCAAGACUUUGCUGAUACACUCCUCCUAGACAUGGGGGUAGAGAGCAGCAGCCCUUACAGGAGAAAGCCAGAGCUGGCUGUACUACCCAACAUUU